rnacentral:rRNA from 1 species
CUAACGAUACCAACUAGCGUUCCGCCGCUGGCAAACACGCCUUGGCGGGCAGCUUCCCGGAAACGAAAGUUUUUCGGUUCCGGGGGAAGUAUGGUUGCAAAGCUGAAACUUAAAGAAAUUGACGGAAGGGCACCACCAGGAGUGGAGCCUGCGGCUUAAUUUGACUCAACACGGGAAAACUCACCCGGCCCGGACACCGUAAGGAUUGACAGACUGAGAGCUCUUUCUUAAUUCGGUGGGUGGUGGUGCAUGGCCGUUCUUAGUUGGUGGAGCGAUUUGUCUGGUUAAUUCCGAUAACGAACGAGACUCUGGCCUAUUAAAUAGACGAUAUAUUUAAAAGUAUAUCGCGCUUCUUAGAGGGACAAGCGGCGUCUAGCCGCAUGAAAUAGAGCAAUAACAGGUCUGUGAUGCCCUUAGAUGUCCGGGGCUGCACGCGCGCUACACUGAAAGAAUCAGUGUGCGUUACGCCUAGUUCGGAAGAACCGGGUAACCCAAGUAAAUUCUUUCGUGCUUGGGAUAGGGAAUUGCAAUUAUUUCCCUUAAACGAGGAAUUCCCAGUAAAUGCGGGUCAUAAGCUCGCGUUGAUUACGUCCCUGCCCUUUGUACACACCGCCCGUCGCUACUACCGAUUGGAUGACUUAGUGAGGUCUUAGGACCGAGGUAAAGGUGCUUGUAAUGAGUGCUUUUGCUUUGGAAAUUUGAUCGAACUACGUUAUCUAGAGGAAGUAAAAGUCGUAACAAGGUUUCCGUAUGUGACCCUGCGGAAGGAUC